ensembl:piRNA 21ur-12606 ncRNA
UUUUUUCCUUUUGUCACAAAU